ACAAGAGGCAUAGCCUAGCCCUCAAGGCACCUGAAAACCGCAAUCACCAUAACAGCACAAUUAGAGGAAGAAUUAAGUGUCAAACUGUGAGAGUCUCCCUUGGUCCAGCAGGACUUUCAAAAUGAAGGGUGAGCCAAGCAAGUUUGCCUAAAGGGCAAACAAGACUGGAAGAGUUGAACAACAGACAUGAAUGGUCUCAGAGCUCUGGAGGUCGGGAGACUGAGGGCAAGGUGGCACCAGGGCUGGCUCCCUCUGAGGCACUGAGGGAGACUAUUGUGCACUGCUGUCUUGCUUCUGCUGGCCGACCAGCAUCUGGUUGUGUGUGCUCAUUUCUGCUGUUGAAACAUAACCAUGAGGUACUUGCUCUGCCACCGUCUUCACUCUGUUCUCAGAGUGUGUGCCCCUGUGUUUUUCUUUACAGAGAUGCCAGGCGUAGUGGAUGAGUGCCCUGUUCUCUUCAUCUCACCCAACCACAUCUGCAAAGACCCGGUUUCCACGCAAGACUGAAUUCUGAGGUGCGCGGACUAGGACUUCAGCCCAUGAAUUAAUUUAACCCAUCGCAAGUGGGGUUCUGCCUCCAGAAGCCAGGAGCACAUUUAGGUCAUACACAUAUGCCUUCCCCAAGGAGUCCUCCUGGAAACGACAAACUGUCGCGCCCAGCCCUUGAGGAGCACCCAGGAGGUCACGAGGUCUUGAUGACGCAGCUUUCCACUUUGUACCCUGGAAAUUUCCGACCCUGGGGAAGUGUGCCCAUACAUGGUGAUAUACUUCUUUCUUCUCUCUGGGCAGACCUUCAGAAGCUUCCAGAAAGAAGCCUGGAGAGGGUCAGGAAUGAGAAGAACAGUUGUCCUGCCUGCCGUCUAAUGGAGUGAGGGCCGUCUAAGAGGAGCGGCUGGCCUUGGCGUGCAGGAAGGCUUUUGGGACACUGGGUCCCAUCAGUUGCUGAGUUUGCCCUCCCUGCACAAGCACUACAGACACCUGGAAGAGACGGACCCAGACCAGUGCUUCCCAACUCUUGUAAGAUCAGAAGAAUGGGACUGAAUGAUGUGGGCAGGGGUGAGGGGUGUCUGACAAGGCCCACGAUGGCUAAAGUCAACCCCCCCACACUGGAGCCCUAAGGUGGAGCAGCUGGCGAGGGACAGUCUUUCAGACAGGGGGUCCUUCCUUGAGAGCAGGCACGGGGGGACCUCAAAGUCAUUCCUGGAAAUGCAGAUCCUUCCAAACAUUGAGAAGAACAUUGACUUGUCCACGUCCUGUCUUCUGUACACCCUGCCUGUAGGAUCUAGGGAACAAUGAACGCAGAAAUGCAUGGGGAAGCAUAGUGCUGACAGAUGCCCAGAGAACCAGACAUGAACAAGCGAGAUGCUGGGCCCAAAAUUAGGUGCAGUUUCCAUGGAGUUCGAUGGCACACUGCUUGUUCACAAUCUCACUAACUCUACGGACAGAGAAAAAUACGAUGAAACUGGUUGUUACCUUUAUAAAAAUAAAUAAGUAAAUAAAAAGUAAAACGGUGGGAAAUGGAUGUGUAAACUUAAGUUUGAUGUUUAAUUUGUCUACAAAUUAACACCUGCUAAAUAAAUGAAGAGAAACUUGUUAAUCAGCUGA